rnacentral:rRNA from 1 species
GACGAACGCUGGCGGCGUGCUUAACACAUGCAAGUCGAGCGGUAAGGCCCUUUCGGGGGUACACGAGCGGCGAACGGGUGAGUAACACGUGGGUGACCUGCCCUCAGCUCUGGGAUAAGCCUGGGAAACCGGGUCUAAUACUGGAUAUGACUCCAUGACGCAUGUUGUGGGGUGGAAAGCCUUGUGCGGCUGAGGAUGGGCCCGCGGCCUAUCAGCUUGUUGGUGGGGUGAGGCCUACCAAGGCGACGACGGGUAGCCGGCCUGAGAGGGCGACCGGCCACACUGGGACUGAGACACGGCCCAGACUCCUACGGGAGGCAGCAGUGGGGAAGUCUUGCGCAAUGGGCGAAAGCCUGACGCAGCGACGCCGCGUGAGGGAUGACGGCCU